rnacentral:rRNA from 1 species
GCGAUCAUACCAGCACUAAUGCAUCGGAUCCCAUCAGAACUCCGCAGU